rnacentral:rRNA from 1 species
AACGAACGCUGGCGGCGUGCCUAACACAUGCAAGUCGUGCGAGAAAGUUCCUUCGGGAGCGAGUAAAGCGGCGCACGGGUGAGUAACACGUAGGUAACCUGCCCCCCAGUCUGGAACAACUAGAGGAAACUCUAGCUAAUGCCGGAUGAGACCACGAUCCCUUCGGGGGUUGCGGCCAAAGAUGGCCUCUACUUGUAAGCUAUCGCUGAGGGAUGGGCCUGCGGCCAUUAGCUUGUUGGUGAGGUAACGGCUCACCAAGGCUGUGAUGGCUAGCUGGUCUGAGAGGAUGACCAGCCACACUGGGACCUGAGACACGGCCCAGACUCCGUACGGGAGG